GUAGCAUACCUGGUUAUCUUCAUACUCAUUUGGGAAACCUGGAGAUUUAAAAAUUUGCUUUGGAUCUGUAAAGACACCACCACAUUCCUUUGCUGAAAUUGAAAAGAAAAGAAAAGAAAGCCUUAGGAAGAGUCUUGCCAAAUUGCCUAGUCUGGCCUUGAAGUUACAAUCCUCCUUCCUCAGCCUCCAGAGUACCCAGAUUGUGGGUCUGCACCACCACAUCCCGCUCAACAAGUUGGGCCCUGGUUUCACAAUGGGAUAUCCAACCCUGCCCUUGGCCAUCCAUCCAGCAGCACAGACAUGAAAUCCUGCAAGCAGAAGAAAGGGUUAUGGGCUUAACAGGUAAAUUCCUCAGCUGAGCUGAAGUCACCUUAACAAAGAGGGUCACUUCCAACAAUAAGUUUCCCAACUGCCCAAGUCCAGUUCAUGUAAAAUGGGAAAAAAAUAUUUCCUUAAAAAAAAAAAAAAGUUUGCCCAGGCAUGGUGGUGUAUACCUGUAGUCCCUGAAACUUGAGAAGCUGAGGCAGGUAGAUUGCAAGUUCAAGGCCAGCCUCAGCAAUUUAGCAAGACCCUGGGCAACUGAGUGAGAUCCUAUCUCAAAGUAAAAAAUAAAAAAGGGCUGGGAAUGUGGCUCAGUGGUAAAGUGGUUUCAAUCCCCCCACCACCAAAAAAGAAAAGCUUGAUGUCUCUUGGCUAAGAUCAAGUGCAGUAUCUAUUUUUAUCCAGUUAAUAUUUAAUACAUCCCCUAUCCUUGGACAAUAUACUGAAUGGAUUUUUGAAGCAAGGAAAUGGAAUAGGAGCUUGUUUUGACCACUCUAAGAAGCCACCUAGUAUUGCACUACCUACAGGAAUGGUAUAUCCCCUUGGAUGGCAAUAGGAAAAAAAAAAGUUUGAACAGAAAUAAAAUAUAACUUGUUACUUUUACAAGAAAAUGAUCUUACUAGGAAAAAACAAAUAAGAUGGACCACAAAUCAUACAAUGGACAUAAAAAUAUUCCAGGUUCAGAGCUGGUUUUCCCAUUACCAUUAAAUAAUUUCUGUAAUUACUGUAAAUUCAGAAACAUAUUAAAAAAUUUCAAGUGACAAUUUAAUGACUUUCUA